CGUACAGUAAACAAUGUUCGCAAUUUUCUCGCCAGCUAUGAAAUUCGCGCAGUAAUUAGAUUUUCGUGUGCAAAGCUAGUGUUGUUGCAAAAUUAGUACUGUAAUGAGUGAAGCAAAAGUUUGACAUUGGAGCCGUGAUCUCAAUAUCAGAAUGUUCAUGACCAAGAGCGAAGUUGUAGAACCAGUAAGCUAACCGAUGAAAUUGUGUCUCUGGUGGACUAAAAUCUGCGAACUGAUCGUGGGAUGACAAUUAGUACUCUGGCUGAUGAGCUUGCUCUCCUUGGUCACACUACUGGUUUCACAAUUGUUUCAGAAAAAACAUGGGUUGGCAGUGAGUUCCGGUACAGAGGGGUUAAAACAAAUCAUCCCUCGCUUUUCGAAUAUGUCUCGUAUUUACACACUGAUAAAUAAAAAAUAAAGCACUGAUAAAUAAAAAUAAAAGCACUCCCUUAACUGCAAAAUGAACAAAACAAACAAACUGGUAACUAGUUCCACCAAAAUUCGAGAGAGAAGUAUAUUAUGAUGAAACGGAUUGCAGAUAUUGGGGUAAAAAUAAUCAUGGAAGCGUUUCGUGCGGCCAGUGCACGUUAUUCUGUUCGAUUCUCUAGACUUGUUUUUCAUAGGGAAACUGAACCGUUCAAUUACACAAUAAUACAUUUUUCUUUGUUAUUAUUUUUACUUCUCCGCAAUUCUCUGCAAAAAAACAUGCUUUGGAGGAGGGACCAUAACUCUAACGAAAAAUAUUUUCUUUUUAAUCAACUUGCUUGUUUUUCUGCGAUAGU